GCACAAAGUGCUGAAAUACAUAUAUCUAAAAGGGACAACUUGCAGGAGAUUGGACAAAACUGUGCAUGUACUAUUAAAGUAUAUCAGAGACAAGCAAUUCGGUAGGAUUAUAAAGCUGGAAAAAGGAAAAAUAACACACAAAAUCAGCAAAAUUAACAAAAGUCAUAUUGCAGCAGUAAAAGCAGAUAAUAUACAUAUAAUAAGUGUUGAAGAUGGUUGGAAAAUUCAAUCUGGAAAUAAUUUCUAUCUUGUGAAAUUGAAUGAAUUAGGUGAUCAUCAGUGCAAUUUAAAAUGUUCUUCAUGUAUGUCAUGUGUUCAUUCUUACACCUGUAACUGUAUGGAUUACGUAAUACACAACAUGUGCAAACAUAUACAUAAAUUGUGCAUGAGCUAAACUUGUAAUAAUAGCCCAAUGAAGAUAACUCAUCAUGAUAAUACAACAAACAAUAAUGAUGAACUGCAAAGCCACCUUCUUAGUUUAAAACAAUGUAAUAGUUCUGAAACCAUCAAGAAAAUAAGGGAAGAUAUCAGUUUUAUGUCUACUUUUGACUGGCCAUCAGUUGAUGAUGCUGCGUUAAGAAAAAUUAGUGGCCUCCUAACAUCAGUUAAGCAUAAUAUGAUAAAUAGUCAAGAAUCAUCAGCUCUAAUAACAGAAUCUAGUAAACACAAAGUUUGUCCUGCUAACAAGAAAAUCACUACACAACCUCGGUUCUUUUCUACAAAACUAAAGAAAAAGCCGAUGGCUCCCAAACUGGCAAAGCCUUCACAAGAAGAAAUUACAGAAAUAUGCUCAAGAUUCAAAGAGUUGCAAGAGAAUAAAUGAUUUACUACACACACACACUUUAUGUAACUUUUUGAUUAAAUUAAAUCUGACAAAAUUG